GUGAGUUUCUGCAAGACCUGCUCCCUGCAUUUCUGGCUGAUUUCCACCUGGCCUGGAAGGGAGGGGCCUUGUCGCUCUCCAGCUACAAAAGCAGCAACUGCUGAAGGGGCCAGAGACCAUCUACCUGUAUAAUUAUAUAGAGUUGGAUCCAAAGAACCAUGAGUGGAAGGAAAGGAAAAGAGCUGCUCAUGCUGUCUUGACAUGCUUAUGCAAGAGUUCUCCCAGAGGCCCAGUCUCUGGUUCCACACUGUGAAAUACCCAUUAAACAUAUAGACCUCAAUCCAAAGAACUACAUGCUGAGCUUUGUACAUGCUUCAUCUUUUUCUGACAGCACUUCCCUGAGCUACCUGAGAAGUCAUGGCCAAUACAGCAAUCCCCUAAUGCAGACUAAGGAACAGCUGUUGGAGAAUAAGUGAGAGGAUCCAACAAGCAGAAGCAAACUAUGUAUACCCCUGAAGGGCUAUUUGGAUUGCAAUAACACUAUUACACGUUAUAUUUAUAACAUUAUGUACACCUAUUUUCAAGU